rnacentral:rRNA from 1 species
GACGAACGCUGGCGGCGUGCUUAACACAUGCAAGUCGAGCGGUAAGGCCCUUCGGGGUACACGAGCGGCGAACGGGUGAGUAACACGUGGGUGACCUGCCCCCUACUCUGGGAUAAGCCUGGGAAACUGGGUCUAAUACCGGAUAUGACCUCUGGUUGCAUGGCUUGGGGUGGAAAGUUUUUCGGUGGGGGAUGGGCCCGCGGCCUAUCAGCUUGUUGGUGGGGUGAUGGCCUACCAAGGCGACGACGGGUAGCCGGCCUGAGAGGGCGACCCGCCACACUGGGACUGAGACACGGCCCAGACUCCUACGGGAGGCAGCAGUGGGGAAGAUUGCGCAAUGGGCGGAAGCCUGACGCAGCGACGCGGCGUGGGGGAUGACGGCCUUCGGGUUGUAAACCUCUUUCGGCCCCGACGAAGCGUGAGUGACGGUAGGGGUGGAAGAAGCACCGGCCAACUACGUGCCAGCCGCCGCCGUAAAAC